rnacentral:rRNA from 1 species
UACGUAGGUGGCAAGCGUUGUCCGGAAUUAUUGGGCGUAAAGCGCGCGCAGGCGGUCCUUUAAGUCUGAUGUGAAAGCCCACGGCUCAACCGUGGAGGGUCAUUGGAAACUGGGGGACUUGAGUGCAGAAGAGGAAAGCGGAAUUCCACGUUGUAGCGGUGAAAUGCGUAGAGAUGUGGAGGAACACCAGUGGCGAAGGCGGCUUUCUGGUCUGUAACUGACGCUGAGGCGCGAAAGCGUGGGGAGCAAACAGGA